rnacentral:rRNA from 1 species
GAAUGCCUACGGGGGGCAGCAGUAGGGAAUCUUCCACAAUGGGCGAAAGCCUGGUGGAGCAACGCCGCGUGGGUGAAGAAGGUCUUCGGAUCGUAAAACCCUGUUGUUAGAGAAGAAAGUGCGUGAGAGUAACUGUUCACGUUUCGACGGUAUCUAACCAGAAAGCCACGGCUAACUACGUGCCAGCAGCCGCGGUAAUACGUAGGUGGCAAGCGUUAUCCGGAUUUAUUGGGCGUAAAGGGAAGGCAGGCGGGCUUUUAAGUCUGAUGUGAAAGCCUUGGGCUUAACCGGAGUAGUGGAAUGGG